AGCUUUGUGCAGUGGCAGUAUCAUAGCCAAUGAGGUUUAUCCAACGCGAGAUUAUUGCUAAUUGAAAAACUGAUAUUGAUACGUUAUUAUUAACUGAAGCUCAUGCUUUAUACAGAUUAUUUUUGAUUUCUAAAAAUUUAA